AGGCGUGGUCUCUGGCUGUCUUCUUCUGCCCUGUUGUCUCUGCCUUCGCCCAGCCUAGCGCUUCUGAUGGCUUUUUCAGGCUGUCUUGGGGCUCCCCGUCCAGGCUCCGCGUCCGGGGCUCUGCGUCCGGGACCCUGUACUUUAUUGGACUUAUAACGGCCCGCUCCUGAUUUUUUCACUUGCCCAACUGCCAGUACCGCUACACACAACACACCGGCCGCCAAGAUUGCUGCAGUCAUGGGACAUGGAGGUGUCCUCCUCUGGUUCCACUCCUCUGACAAAUGCCUUAAGUAUUCCCAGCUCCAGAAAAACCCACCUGGACAGGUCAGCGAGCUCUGGAACCGGCUUGAAUCCACCUGGACAGCGCCGAAAAGCAGCAGAGGACCCCAGGACGGCUGGUUACCUCGGUGGCCCCUUCCCUACCCCCCAAGAGUCAACUGAUGCCCACCAGGUCAGCUGGAAGCAGAUUUUCCAGGAGAAACGACGCCCCUAUUCCUGUUCACCCGCUUUUUUAUAAUAAGCAAAAGUUUAGAACGUUAGGAUUCUGCCGCCACUCCAGCUGCAUGACCGCACAUGCGCAGUUCAGCAGCUGAGUAAGGGGUCUUACGUCUUGCAGCAUCAGUGUGCUGCGUGAUCAUUCAAAUGUGUGCAGCACAGUCAUGCAAUCAGCACAUGCAUGGCAUAGCGCCAUAAGCCUACCUGCGCAUGCGCAUGGGAAUCCUUAAAAAGCUGGACACAGACUCCUCCUCUCACUCCUCUGCUCUCUCUUCCCCCACCAUCUCUCCCUCUCCCUCUCCCUCUCUCUCCCCUCAUCCCUCUUCCCCCCUCUCCCCCCCCCCCUGCACAUGCUUCUUCCUCAGGCCUGGUUUUUUGUUGUCCCCCCCCCCCACACACACACCUUCCUCCUAAUAAAGCUCUGAU